CUUAUCAAGAGCGGCGGAGGGACAGGCCCUGUGAAGCCCAGCAACCACCCAUUAGGGAAAAGGUGCUAAAUCCUACAAGACUAGAUGUCUUGAGAGAUGAGG
rnacentral:ncRNA from 1 species